rnacentral:lncRNA from 1 species
ACAGAUGAUGGUAGUAGAAGUUCCAAGGAUAGUUGUUACAAUAGAAAGGCUAGGUGUGAUAAUCACGGUAGGUUUCCCCAUGAUAGUGGUAGUAGUAGUGAGAGUACCGUUAGCAACAAUGGGCAUAGAAUUGGCAGCACUGAAAAUGGUGAUGACUCUCCAAAGAGUGACACUAAGAUUUUUAGCAACCCCAGAAUCCAUGAUGCAUUCUUGGGUGUAGGCGAAUACGAGAAUUAUGGUUUCCCAAGUGGGAAAUUUGGUCUAGGGUUCAAGAGUUGUAGCUCGAAGGAUGGGACUUUGUUAGGCUUUGGACACUCAGGGAUGGGUGGAUCUACAGGCUACUGUGACAUAAAUAACAAGUUUGCUAUUGCUGUGACCCUGAACAAGAUGUCGCUCG